rnacentral:rRNA from 1 species
GAUUGAACGCUGUCGGCAUGCUUUACCCAUGCAAGUCGAACGGUAACAGGCCGCAAGGUGCUGACGAGUGGCGAACGGGUGAGUAAUGCAUCGGAACGUGCCCAGUCGUGGGGGAUAACUACUCGAAAGAGUAGCUAAUACCGCAUACGAUCUAUGGAUGAAAGCGGGGGACCGUAAGGCCUCGCGCGAUUGGAGCGGCCGAUGUCAGAUUAGGUAGUUGGUGGGGUAAAGGCUCACCAAGCCAACGAUCUGAAGCUGGUCUGAGAGGACGACCAGCCACACUGGGACUGAGACACGGCCCAGACUCCUACGGGAGGCAGCAGUGGGGAAUUUUGGACAAUGGGCGCAAGCCUGAUCCAGCAAUGCCGCGUGCAGGAAGAAGGCCUUCGGGUUGUAAACUGCUUUUGUACGGAACGAAACGGCUCUGGUUAAUACCCGGGGCUAAUGACGGUACCGUAAGAAUAAGCACCGGCUAACUACGUG